rnacentral:rRNA from 1 species
CAAUAGCGUAUAUUAACGUUGUUGCAGUUAAAAAGCUCGUAGUUGGAUUUGUGGUUCGUCCCGCCGGCUGGGUCAUUGACUUUUGCUGUGCUGGUCGUCCAUCCUUGGGUGGAAUCUGUGUGGCAUUAGGUUGUCGCGCAGGGGAUGCCCAUCGUUUACUGUGAAAAAAUUAGAGUGUUCAAAGCAGGCUUAUGCCGUUGAAUAUAUUAGCAUGGAAUAAUGAUAUAGGACCUUGGUACUAUUUUGUUGGUUUGCGCAUCGAGGUAAUGAUUAAUAGGGACAGUUGGGGGUAUUCGUAUUCCAUUGUAAGAGGUGAAAUUCUUGGAUUUUUGGAAGACGAACUACUGCGAAAGCAUUUACCAAGGAUGUUUUCAUUAA